UACGGAGGGUGCGAGCGUUGUCCGGAAUCAUUGGGCGUAAAGGGCGCGUAGGUGGCGGGACAAGCGUGCGGUGAAAGCUCGGGGCUCAACCCCGGAGUCGGCCGGUGCGAACUGUUUGCUUGAGCACUGUAGAGGCAGGCGGGAAUUCCGGGGUGUAGCGGUGGAAUGGCGUAGAGAUCCGGAAGAACACCGGGUGGCGAAG
rnacentral:rRNA from 1 species